rnacentral:rRNA from 1 species
AUAUCAUUAAGCGGAGGAAAAGAAAUUAACGAAGAUUGCCUUAGUAGCGGCGAGCGAAGCGGCAAGAGUCCAAGUUUAAAAUCUGAGGUGUUCCACCUCCGAAUUGUAAUCUAAAGAGCGUAGCAAAAGGGGAGGUUGAAGCAUAAGUGCCAUGGAACUGGCUGUCAAAGAGGGUGAAAAUCCCGUGCUUGGCUUCGACUGAACCGAAUGCUUUGUUUCGAAGAGUCGGGUUGUUUGGGAUUGCAGCCCUAAAUGGGAGAUAAACUUCUUCUAAGACUAAAUAUUGAUGGGAGACCGAUAGCGCACAAGUA